rnacentral:rRNA from 1 species
AUUGAACGCUGGCGGCAGGCCUAACACCUGCAAGUCGAACGAGUGGCGGACGGGUGAGUAAUGUCUGGGAAACUGCCUGAUGGAGGGGGAUAACUACUGGAAACGGUAGCUAAUACCGCAUACCAUCGGAUGUGCCCAGAUGGGAUUAGCUAGUAGGUGGGGUAAAGGCUCACCUAGGCGACGAUCCCUAGCUGGUCUGAGAGGAUGACCAGCCACACUGGAACUGAGACACGGUCCAGACUCCUACGGGAGGCAGCAGUGGGGAAUAGUGCACAAUGGGCGCAAGCCUGAUGCAGCCAUGCCGCGUGGAUGAAGAAGGCCGUCGGGUUGUAAAGUACUUUCAGCGAGGAGGCGUUACUCGCAGAAGAAGCACCGGCUAACUCCGUGCCAGCAGCCGCGGUAAUAC